UGGGAACAUCUUUUUGGAUGUUUUCCAGCCCAAGCUUUAUAAGGGAAAAUGAAAAAGUCCUUUUCUUUUCUCUAAUUUGUAAAAAUAAUGCAUUUUUAUAUUGUUCUUGGAAAAAUAGAGACACCCUUAGGCUGUGUUCUGCAUGAAAACUAAAAAUAAAACAACAACAAACUCUGAUAUAAUCUACAGUGCUAAUUAUCCCUACUCCUUUUAUUUUUAUACAUUUUGAUUUUCAUUCUCUGUGGUGGGAGACAUAAUAACCUCAUCUUUAUAUUUUAAUUUUCCCACACUUUCCUCACGAAGGGAAAAUUUUCCCUGAAAAAAAACGAAAAGAAAAAUGAGAUGGGAAAGGGUGCAGCAGCAGCAGCAGCAAGGAGUUCAAAUAGAAGAGUUAAAUGGGCCAGGGAAGAGGUGGGGACACACUUGUAAUUCAAUUAAAGGAGGAAGAUUUCUAUAUGUUUUUGGUGGCUAUGGCAAAGAUAACUGCCAGACCAACCAAGUUCAUGUCUUUGAUACUGUUAACCAGACCUGGAGCCAGCCAGUGUUAAAUGGCACGCCACCAGUUCCGAGAGAUAGCCACACUUGUACAACUGUUGGUGACAAUCUGUAUGUGUUUGGAGGUACUGAUGGGAAGAACCCUCUCAAUGAUCUGCAUAUCUUAGAUACUUCAUCUCAUACUUGGAUAACUCCAAAUGUGAGAGGUGAUGGGCCAGAGGCACGGGAGGGUCAUGGUGCUGCCCUAGUUGGUAAACGACUUUUUAUAUAUGGUGGAUGUGGGAAAUCUUCAGAUAAUUAUCACGAAGUCUAUUAUGAGGAUCUUUACAUCUUGAAUACAGAGACUUUUGUAUGGAAACAAGCAAUAACAACAGGCACUCCACCUUCUGCCCGUGAUAGCCAUACUUGCUCAUCUUGGAGGGACAAAAUCAUUGUGAUUGGUGGUGAAGAUGGGCAUGAUUAUUAUUUGUCAGAUGUCCACAUCCUAGAUACAGAAACUCUUGUUUGGAAGGAGCUGAACACAUUGGGUCAGAAGUUGCCACCUCGAGCUGGUCAUUCCACUGUUGCUUUUGGCAAGAAUUUAUUUGUUUUUGGUGGAUUCACAGAUGCCCAAAAUCUAUAUGAUGAUUUUUAUAUGCUUGAUGUUGAAACUGGUGUUUGGACUAAGGUGAUGACAACUGGAGAUGGACCUUCUGCAAGAUUCUCCGUGGCUGGGGACUGCUUGGAUCCACUGAAGGAUGGUGUGCUUGUCUUCAUUGGUGGCUGCAAUAAGAGUCUUGAGGCGCUGGAAGACAUGUACUACUUACACACAGGACAUACAAGAGUGCAAGAUGAAUGGCGUCUAGAAAAGUUAUCUCUGAAGAAGCAAUUGAAACUAAAAUGCCAAGAACAAAAUCUUAAUUCUUCUGUGCGUGAUAAAGUUUUAGUCCAAAUUGACACAAAUGCUGACAUUCACCACACCUUGCCGAGUUAUGCCCAACCAGGCAGAGAAAAUUUCCCAUUGAAUCAAAGACAACUUCAUCAAGGGAAGAAGACAUUUCAAGCCAAAGUUACUGAAAGCCUUCCACAUGGAUAUACCAUCGAGACCACUGUAGAUGGAAAGCCUUUACGUGGAAUAUUAUUUUCCAACAAGCCAAGUUCUCCCCAGAUAGUUGACCACAAUAACAGCAGGAAAAGGGCAAGUGCAGAAAUUGGUGUGGUGUUGAAUGGUGACUACAACAGCAAACCAAAAACUUCUAAAACCCUCAAGCAGGAUGCAGUAGAAAACAUGCAGCCAGACAAUGCUCAUGAGAAGGAGUCCACAGCACAGGAACCCAUGACAGAAGGUGCUGCUGUCCCUGAUUUGAAGAAUCUGGCUUCUUCAAAUGUUCAUCAGUCCCGCGAGGCUCCUCAAAAUGCAGUACCAUCAGUGGCCCCAACCCUGAAUUUGAAUGAUGAUAUGGUCUCUGAUGCACCAAACUCUGAUACAGAAUUUUCAAAAGAGAAGUCUACCCCGGGAGAGGACUCUACGACUUGGCUGCUAAACUGAGUGAUUUCUAUGCCAACCAACCAAAGCCAAAUUUGUGACUACUAGUGUCUGGCAAACGAGGCUGGUUUCUUGAAUGCUGAAUGGGACGGUGAGUCCAGCGGAUGGCCAGACAGACAGCAAGAGCUGAAGUAUAAAUGAUCCAUGGAUAUCAAUUUGUUAACCCUUUGGAAUGACUUGAUACAAACCGCCUGCUUCUGUACAUUAUUAUGACUUGAAGGUGGUCGUAGAUGUAUUGGACUGAUGAUUCACAGAAUCUGCUCUCCGACCGGUGUAAUCUACCACCUACCAGUACUUACCUUUUCCUUUAUUUAUCAAGUACUAUUUAUCCUGAUUCACUCUA